CGCGGUAAUACGUAGGGCNCAAGCGUUAUCCGGAAUUAUUGGGCGUAAAGANCUCGUAGGCGGUUUGUCGCGUCUGCCGUGAAAGUCCGGGGCUCAACUCCGGAUCUGCGGUGGGUACGGGCAGACUAGAGUGAUGUAGGGGAGACUGGAAUUCCUGGUGUAGCGGUGAAAUGCGCAGAUAUCAGGAGGAACACCGAUGGCGAAGGCAGGUCUCUGGGCAUUAACUGACGCUGAGGAGCGAAAGCAUGGGGAGCGAACAGGAUUAGAUACCCUGGUAGUCCAUNCCGUAAACGUUGGGCACUAGGUGUGGGGGACAUUCCACGUUUUCCGCGCCGUAGCUAACGCAUUAAGUGCCCCGCCUGGGGAGUACGGCCNCAAGGCUAAAACUCAAAGGAAUUGACGGGGGCCCGCACAAGCGGCGGAGCAUGCGGAUUAAUUCGAUGCAACGCGAAGAACCUUACCAAGGCUUGACAUGAACCGGUAAUACCUGGAGACAGGUGCCCCGCUUGCGGUCGGUUUACAGGUGGUGCAUGGUUGUCGUCAGCUCGUGUCGUGAGAUGUUGGGUUAAGUCCCGCAACGAGCGCAACCCUCGUUCUAUGUUGCCAGCACGUGAUGGUGGGGACUCAUAGGAGACUNCCGGGNUCAACUCGGAGGANGGUGGGGNCGACGUCAAAUCAUCAUGCCCCUUAUGUCUUGGGCNUCACGCAUNCNACAAUGACCGGUACANAGGGUUGCGAUACUGUGAGGUGGAGCUAAUNCCAAANAACCGGUCUCAGNUNGGAUUGGGNUCUGCNACUCGACCCCAUGAAUUCGGAGUCGCUAGUAAUCGCAGAUCANCGACACUGCGGUGAAUA
rnacentral:rRNA from 1 species